rnacentral:rRNA from 1 species
GAAUUCGCCCUUAGAGUUUGAUCCUGGCUCAGGACGAACGCUGGCGGCGCGCCUAACACAUGCAAGUCGAACGAGCGAGAGAGAGCUUGCUUUCUCGAGCGAGUGGCGAACGGGUGAGUAACGCGUGAGGAACCUGCCUCAAAGAGGGGGACAACAGUUGGAAACGACUGCUAAUACCGCAUAAGCCCACAGCUCGGCAUCGAGCAGAGGGAAAAGGAGCAAUCCGCUUUGAGAUGGCCUCGCGUCCGAUUAGCUAGUUGGUGAGGUAAUGGCCCACCAAGGCGACGAUCGGUAGCCGGACUGAGAGGUUGAACGGCCACAUUGGGACUGAGACACGGCCCAGACUCCUACGGGAGGCAGCAGUGGGGAAUAUUGCACAAUGGGGGAAACCCUGAUGCAGCGACGCCGCGUGGAGGAAGAAGGUCUUCGGAUUGUAAACUCCUGUUGUUGAGGAAGAUAAUGACGGUACUCAACAAGGAAGUGACGGCUAACUACGUGCCAGCAGCCGCGGUAAAACGUAGGUCACAAGCGUUGUCCGGAAUUACUGGGUGUAAAGGGAGCGCAGGCGGGAAGACAAGUUGGAAGUGAAAUCCAUGGGCUCAACCCAUGAACUGCUUUCAAAACUGUUUUUCUUGAGUAGUGCAGAGGUAGGCGGAAUUCCCGGUGUAGCGGUGGAAUGCGUAGAUAUCGGGAGGAACACCAGUGGCGAAGGCGGCCUACUGGGCACCAACUGACGCUGAGGCUCGAAAGUGUGGGUAGCAAACAGGAUUAGAUACCCUGGUAGUCCACACUGUAAACGAUGAUUACUAGGUGUUGGAGGAUUGACCCCUUCAGUGCCGCAGUUAACACAAUAAGUAAUCCACCUGGGGAGUACGACCGCAAGGUUGAAACUCAAAGGAAUUGACGGGGGCCCGCACAAGCAGUGGAGUAUGUGGUUUAAUUCGACGCAACGCGGAUAACCUUACCAAGUCUUGACAUCCUGUGACGCACAUAGAAAUAUGUGUUUCCUUUGGGACGCAGAGACAGGUGGUGCUUGGUUGUUGUCAGCUCGUGUCGUGAGAUGUUGGGUUAAGUCCCGCAACGAGCGCAACCCUUAUGGUCAGUUACUAUGCAAGAGGACUCUGGCCAGACUGCCGUUGACAUAACGGAGGAAGGUGGGGAUGAUCGUCAAAUCAUCAUUCCCUUUAUGACUUGGGCUACACACGUAUUACAAAGGCGUUAAACAAAGAGAAGCAAGACCGCGAGGUGGAGCAAAACUCAGAAACAACGUCCCAGUUC